GCUGACUCGUGGCCAGCGGCCGGGGGAAUGCAGAGGGGGCAAGCGUUGUUCGGAAUUAGUGGGCGUAAAGCGCGGGUAGGCGGCUUGUUAUGUCGGGUGUGAAAGCCCUCAGCUGAACUGAGGAAGUGCGCCCGAAACUGGCGAGCUUGAGUACCGGAGAGGAGAGCGGAACACCCGGUGUAGAGGUGAAAUUCGUAGAUAUCGGGUAGAACACCAGUGGCGAAGGCGGCUCUCUGGACGGAUACUGACGCUGAGACGCGAAAGCGUGGGGAGCAAACAGGAUUAGAUACCCCAGUAGUC
rnacentral:rRNA from 1 species